rnacentral:rRNA from 1 species
CAGCCGCCGCGGGAAUACAGAGGGUGCGAGCGUUAAUCGGAUUUACUGGGCGUAAAGCGUGCGUAGGCUGCUUCUUAAGUCGGAUGUGAAAUCCCUGAGCUUAACUUAGGAAUUGCAUUCGAUACUGGGAAGCUAGAGUAUGGGAGAGGAUGGUAGAAUUCCAGGUGUAGCGGUGAAAUGCGUAGAGAUCUGGAGGAAUACCGAUGGCGAAGGCAGCCAUCUGGCCUAAUACUGACGCUGAGGUACGAAAGCAUGGGGAGCAAACAGGAUUAGAUACCCCCGUAGUCCCUGUCUCUUAUAC